CAAUAAUGAAAUUUAUAUGGAAACUGGAAAGCUAACACUAGAUUAGUCUCCAAAUCGGACUGAAAUUCAAAUUACAAUUCAAUUCAAUUCAAUGUAGGCAUUACAAAUCUAAGAUAUCCGUACUUUUUAAGGCCGUCGCGCCGGAGCCGGAGGAAGCUCUCACCACCAUCACCGGCAGCAAGACCGUCGAUCCUGAGCCCAAUAGCUCCACCGAUUAUCUCGAUCAAUAGAACCCUUGGACUUCUGCACUACCUGCAACCGUUUCAUCUUUCAUUAUCAUUGUUCUCAAUUUUUUCACUUUCUGUGUUUAUGUGCCUAUUCCUGGAAUUGAAGCCUCAUAUAUUCAACUCUGAUCCUUUCAACGGAAGUCUCAUGGAUUCUGAUUUUGCAUAUGCUGUUUGGUUUGCUGCGCUAGUGAUUAUACUUCAAUUACCCCCCUACAUAUUGGGCUAAUUGAAUAAUUUGGUACAGGAGCUUGACAAUAUGAGGAAAUUGGUGACCAAGGGCAAGGUUCUGGUGCCAAUGGACUGAUGGAGCUCCUAGAGUAUUUCCUGGUGAGGAUGAAGCUUACAGGGUAAUACUUCUACAUCUGCAGCAGUGGGUUAUUUAGUCAUAUUUCUUCUCGUGUCUCCCCAGUGUUUGUUAAGAAGUUCAAUGUUCUAAGAAUAUCUCUUUCUCUUAUUACUAUAUUAAAUAAUACUACUAGCUUCUAUCAUAAUUGAGGUGAGUGCAUGAAUGCAUAGAAUUUCUUAAUGUUAUAGAUCUUAAUAUAUCUGCCUUGAAACUUUUGAAAAAGUUAGGCAGAACUAUGAUGGAUAGAUAGAACAAUUAUUUAAAUGAUGUUUUAAUAAGAAUGCUUUUGGCAGCUCGAAA